AUUGAACGCUGGCGGCAGGCUUAACACAUGAAAGUAGAGCGAGCGGCGGACGGGUGAGUAAUGUCUGGGAAACUGCCUGAUGGGGGGGGAUAACUACGGGAAACGGUAGCUAAUAACGCAUACCAUCAGAUGUGCCCAGAUGGUAUUAGCUCGUAGGUGGGGUAAUGGCUCACCUAGGCGACGAUCCCUAGCUGGUCUGAGAGGAUGACACGCCACCCUGGGACGGCGACAGCGUCCAGACACCAGAGAGAGAGAGGUGUGGGAAAUCUUAGAGCAUGUGAGCAAGCCAGAUGCAGCGCUGCAGCGUGUGUCACGAAGGCCGUCGGGUUGUCAAGCACUGUCAGGGAGGAGGCGUUACUCGCAGAAGAAGUACCGGGUAGGUCCGUGCCAGCAGCCGCGGUAAUAC
rnacentral:rRNA from 1 species